rnacentral:lncRNA from 1 species
UGUUUCAUGUAUGAUUGAAUUUAAAAAUAUGAUGUUCUGUUGGGACUGUGUUGUCACUGUUUUACGUAUUUGGUUUUGGUAUGAACUGGAUUGCACAAAUGAUGAACCUGUGAAUGAUUUCUUGUGUAUUGUUGAUGAAUAUACUCUGUUUCGGAAUGAGUUAUUGAAUGUGAUUGAUUUUUCUCUGCUGACCAAUUGGGAUGUAAAGAGGGUUUGAAAGAAUUUGGGGUUGGUUUUGUAAAGUGUAAAGGAAGUGUUAAAUUUGGUUGGAUAGAGGAUGAAAUGUAAAGUUAGUGAACGGAUGAGAGUCUGAAAGAAUAACGCGGGAGAGAGAAAGAUGUUUAAUUUCUUUAAAAUGAUUUACUGUUUCCCUGAGGCAGAAAGUGCUAUGGCCAUUGACAGAUGAAGGAAUGAGAGGAAAAAAAAAAGGAGUAUCUCUGUUUGUGGAUUUUUUAUAUUUCCUUUCUUGUUUGAAUUGUAAGGAGGAGUAGGUUUUGGGUGUAAAUAAACAGUUUCAGGUAUGCAUUGGAUGGGGAGUUUAUUAGGAUGAUAUUGAGAAAGAAGGAGUGUUGCUCUGAGUGGGUUUAAUAAAAUAAAAUGAAGAGAGAGUUGUGGGUAUAGAAGGGAACAAUGUUAGUAUGCAAGAAAGAGAAAAGAAGAAGACGUGUGGGUGGCAGUAAAGAAAAAGAGUGGUGCUGGAAACAUUGGUUAGUGAUUUUAUAGUGGGAAAAGAUUAGAAGAAGGAGAGAAUUGUGAUCUUAAAUGAACAUAAAAUUUUAAUAAAUAGUGGAAGAGCAGCGGUUGUUUUGUUGCAGAGAGGGAGGGACGUUUUGCUUUUACUAGGUUUUGGAAAAAUUUUCUUUCAUGGUUAUAUAAAUUAAUAUAGAAAAGAAAAUAUGAAUGUUUGCCUCCGUAAGGCACGUCCAGGGCGUGCAAAUUCUUUUGCCAUGUUAUGUUUGUAAAAUGGAUAGGUAGGAAAGAUAGGAUAGACCCACUUUGCUAAAAGGAUGAAUAAAUAAAAUAAAAUAUUAAAAAGAAAG